GUAUGCUGUUGCCAGAAGAGGGUGUCUGUGUUGAGCAGGAUGCUCAGCUCUCCACGAGAUGCUGAAUAUCUACUGAGGUUAAAGACUUUUUGAAGUAAAGAGGAGCAUCUCAUCUGAACCUGAUGUGAGUAGAAUUGUGUGGCAAAGCACAACUGAUGUGACGUGUAUGUUGAAUAUAAAUCAUUUGAAAUUUGGACCAUGAUUAAACUGUUCCUACCUUCAAAGGUCUAUCAUGGAUAUUUAACUGCAGGUCUGGGAGUAUCCCAACUUAACCAUGAAGAUGAACUGCAAACUAAGUCAUUAAUUUCUCAUUACUCUUGGGCACAUUGAUGUAUUUUGGCUUCCUGGUGAGUUAACCUGUUACCUGAAGGUUGAUCUGAGUAGUAAGGAUGUUUUAUUGGUUCAUGGGUUUCUUAGGUGUUUGGUUUAUGUUGGUUUUAAUGAUUUGUUAAAAUGGUUAGGCUCCACGUUGUUGUUGUAAGCUGGAGUAAUGGGUUGGGUUCUGAUAUCUUCAGUCUUCUUUCAUUCUACUCUCCUGAGCUCUGCAUCUUCAUCACUUGUGUUGCGUUACUGAUGAGGGUGUGGUCUGAGUGAGCGGAGGUGCAUACUGGGAUACAGAGCUGUCUGAAGUCUACAGGUCCGUAGACACGCCCCCUCAGGGGAAACCAAGUGUUUGAGAAACUGUCGUGACGUCAGUUACAUGGACUGGAAUGUUCUUUAAAAUGGACUCGGGGAUUCCGAAGGAGAAACACCAGGGGGAGAUGAGGGGGCUCCUCAUCUCAACGACUAAAACACAACUUCAGUCUGACACAGAGAACCAUGGAACACAUUCAACAGUCCCCUCCAGGCAUCGUGACUCCUCAGGAACGGUUUCAUUUCCAUGAAGGUCUUAUUUGGGGCCAUCCCCAGAUGGAUCCUGCUCCUCAAGAGCCACCCCCCUCCACUGUGUGGUCUUCUGAACAGAUGACCUCCUUCCUGUCCUCAGGCUGACUAAAGCUGCACCGUGUGCAUCUGUGAAGGCCCCUCAUUCAGGAAACCACUGGACUACAAAGACAUGACUUCAGAGACGUUGAAUCAACCUGGGACAUAUUUUGGAGACGCCAAGCAUAAUCCAUCACCAAUGUGUGACGCAACUGAAGAAUGUGGCACAUAAGUAAUUGGUUGUUCUGUUCUGGGUGCCCUGGCAGGAGAGCUGGGGGGGGUGAUGAAAUGUUAUUUGGCAUGAGGUUUUUACCCUGCAUGAUUGUUUGGCCUUUUAUGGCUCAGUGGUGUGUGUGUUUGGGUUUGACAUGAGAUGGAUGAUUUUUGAGCAUCGCUAGGGUUCUACUGUGUAUGUGUCUCCCACUCACACCUGGCUUGGGGUUCUACGUGCCUGUCCUGGGUUCUAUGUGUGUGUCUGGCUUGCUUUGACAGUGAUAAUGUUCAUACGGGGGUCUUUGUGAUUGGCUUGGGAUAUUGGAAUGGUCAAAUAAAUCAUACCUGAUGGACGGCCACACGUUUACUUAAGGGCCUCCAGUAGACCUGAAGAGCCCUGAGCGACGCCCAGGAGCGAUAUUCAACACACUGGGCAGGAAGGAGAGUAUCCAGAUCAAGUGUAAAAGGAUGCAAGCGGCGUGUUCAGAUCAGUGACUUGAAACUAGGACUACACCAAUCAGGAUCAAUGGAGGAUGGACACCUAAAGGCAUUCCACAAGGAGAGUCUGACGUUGGAAAGGGACCUAAAUGGAUAUUCAAGAUAACCUUCAGACCUGUAAUGAGACGGCUCUUCCUACCUUGCUGGAUUGAUGGAGAGCCUUGUGGAUCUUGUCUUGCUCUCAGUUGCACGUCUUCUCAGGCUGAACUGUAUUCGUUUCGGACCGGACAAGCUGAACGAUUGGUUCCCUUAAAUCAGAACCAGUCCGGGAACUCCAGCUCGUGCGCUCUUCGAGCUGAAGUUGUGCUCUUCAGCUGAGGUCAGGAAACCUUCACUGGGGCUUCAAGCUGUAAAAAGGAGAAUGUUUCAAAGUGUUCCAUGGUACUCUGAUGAGGACCGUUGUUGUGUUCCACUGGCUGAGAGGAAGAACCCUCACAUCUUACUCUUGGCCUUUCUCCUCUGAGAAUCCUGGCGCCAUCUUGAAGGAUAUUCCAGCUCAUGUAAUUGAUGUCACGACAGAUUCUCACACAUUUGGUUUCUCCUGAGGGGCGUGUCUAUAGAACUGAAGACUUCAGACGGCACUGUAUCCCUGCAUGCAUCUCUGCUCACUCAGACCACCCCCCCAUGAGUAGGAUGCUACAUUCUAGUGAUGGAGAUGUAGAGUUUUAUAAGUAACAAGGGAGCAGACAAAGGUGAUUAGAACACAAUGGCAUGUCAAGUCUGUAAAUCUUUAAACCAUGAAGAUGGUUGGAUAAUUCAGGAAUUGGGCUUCUAUUUAUUAUGAGCAGUCCUUUCGCUCAGAUGCCCACUUCUCACUGGACCUGUACAUGUGUUGGCUGGCUUGCAUGAUUUGCUGUUGGUGAUGAGGCGGUCAAGGUGACGUUGCAGGGCUAUGGUCGGCUCUCUGUGAGUUCAACGGUUAGAUUUGCUCUGUAUGGUUUGUACCCUGAAUAAUCUAGAUAAUUGUAAAAUGGAGACACUGUUUUGUAGUGAAUGAUUCCAUUGUUCUUAGGCAAGGAUUUGAGGUUUAAAGUUGUUGUGGGACGUACAUGGUAGUUUGGUUCUUCGUACGGUUUUGAGUGAUAUAACAUGUACACACUGGGUGCAUAAUAAUGUAAAGGUACACUGAAUGGUAGUAAUGACCAACAGCAACAAACAGAUCUCGUCAAGGUAAGUCUGUUGGCUGUGUUUUAAUGAAGACCAUUGCUGGACUUCAGGAUCUUCCUCCGUUCAGCUCAAGGUGAGGAGCUGGUUCUGUUUUUUCUUUGGUUGGUUCCGGCCGGAAUGUUCGGAUUCCAGUCGGACGGUUUGUGCUUCCCGCCGUGGAAGUUUCUGAGUGCCGUCACUUGAUUUAGUCCCAAUGGUUAGCAUAGAACGUUGUAGUCUUGACAACCAUUAGAAACCACCUGGCAGUUAGUUGGUCAGGAGUCCCCUGAGGGAAUCUGGCUGAACGUUCUGGAUUGUAUUUGAGUAACCUCGAGCCGUUGCCAACGGAAACUAUUUUUCAGUCGGUUUCCAUUGGGAAUUGUUGCCCCUUAUCUUAAACAACUUAAAUUUGAUAUUAAAUACAUACUGACAAGUAAGUCGUACAAUACAGUGUUGAUAAUUUCCGAUGGUUGCGCCAUACUUUUAACCACGGUGACGGGACUCUCGCUGCGUACAAAACGGCGUUCUACUUGCGGCCCCAUUUUUGACAUCAGUGAAGGCUGAAAAUCAUUACAAGGUGGAAGACAAUUUGACAUUUCUUCAAAGGAACCCAGCACCUGAAUAUGGCUGAGUAUAUUUGAUUUAAUAUCGAUAUUGCUUACUGUUCUUUGUUACUUCAGCUUUUGUACGUUCUAAAUAUCUGCUGUCAUUAAUUGCCACAGAAGAUAAACCCUACCCAAUGGAAUGACGUUAAACAAAGACUUUGGUGCAGAUUUACCAACUGGAUAAUAUCAAAGCUAAAAUAUUGGCCUUCAUUCCCACAUGUCACAGUAGAAGAUACUCUAGAACUGUACAAGGUUAAAAAGGUAACAUGUAGUUUGUACCAUGGUGUCUGCCUCCACCUCCUCACCCAGAGCAAGACCUCCACCUCCUCACCCAGAGCAAGACCUCCACCUCCUCACCCAGAGCAAGACCUCCACCUCCUCACCCAGAGCCAGACCUUCACCUCCUGUCAGAAGUCCUCCAGAACAGCUGAAAUGCGAGGCUGAGAGGCUGGGGUCCGGAGGCUUGUGGUGCCAGGGUGGACCGGAGACUGAGGCUGGAGACCAGCGGCCUGCAGCACCGGACCAGAGGACCAGCUGAUGGAGGAGCCGUGUUGAAGGCCCUGCCUGGUGGAGGAGCUGGUGGAGGCCCUGCCUGGUGAAGGACGUCUGUCGUGGGACCAGGACUCUGUCUGAGGAGAGCUGCUGGAGGAGCUGCUGAGAUGCUGGAGGACGACUAGGAAUCGACCAACAAGGAUUCCUCACUUUAGGGCCGGACUCGGGCUGUUUGUUCCAGACCAGGACUCUGGCUGAGGAGAGCUGAUGGAGGAGCCAAGACUCUGGAGGACGACAUCACUCCACCAACCAGGAUCCUCAGACAAAUUACGUUUGUAACCAGACCAGGAAUCUGGAGGACUGAUGGAGAAGCCGUACAUCUGGAAAGCAAAUCCUGAGGACAACCAGGACUGUCUGACCUCCAGUGGGAGUGAUCUUCUUGACCCAACAUGUAACCGUGUGCUUCCACACGCCUUUCCCUCACGUCUGUCACUAACCUCACUACUUCACUACUCUCUACUGCUUCCUCUUUUCUUCCUUCUGGUUCAAACCUUUACACUGAAGGCGCGCCUUCCUGCCCUCAGAGGGUUCAGCGUUAGGGUUGAGAGUCAGGGUUUAGAGUCAGGGACAGAGCUGGUCAGGGAGGACUGCUUUUACACAAACCUCUUCACUUGCUUUCGGAAUGGUGGUGACAUUUUGAAAAGAUUCAUUUGGGAAAAUGUUUUCCUCUACUUUCCUUUACAAAAGUGUACUAAACUAUUGUCAUGUGUUUUUGUUUAUAUAUUAAAA